rnacentral:lncRNA from 1 species
GACCCUUGAGUGUUUUAGUGUUUAGUGUUUUUAAUUUAGAGUUUAUGAUUUAUCCAAGUGUAUAGGGUUUAUCCAAGGGUUUAGGGUUUCGGGAUUAGGAUUUAGGGUUUAGUUUUUUCUUAAAAAUAUUUUUUUUGUAAUUGCUACUAUUUUUAUUUUUUAUUUUUUUUAUCUUUUUAUUUUAAAAACAUAAUAUAACUUGACAAUAUUUUGUUUCUUUUUAUAAAAGAUAUCAAAUUUGAAAUAACAUAAUCCUAUUGGUUGGUUCCUCUAGGGGGUGAACCCAAGAAUAAGUCGUUUCAUAGGGAGAAAAUUUGUCCAGUUAUAAAUGAUGGUCUGUUAAUUAAUGUUUGAUUAAGAGUUCAUUAAUGAAGUUUCCUUAAUCCAAUGGUUUGACUAAGUCUAUUAAUGUGGAAGCCUCUUUAGUCUAGUUAUUUGAGUAAGAGUUCAUUAAUGCUUCUAUAUCAUCAUGUCCAGAUUUUAAUUCCUGGAAAAAAAUAAUUUAUUAAAUAAUUAUGCAGGCUAUGGAGGAAAGACUUACAAGAAAUCUUCAACAUGGUGCAAGUAAACUUGGUGAAACGUAAAUUUUCAUAGGACGGAUCUGAUGAUGCAGUUAGACGUAGAUCUUCAUAAAAUAUGUAAUAUUAUUGGUUGUCAGAUCGUCUGUAUAAUCUUUUU